UGACAUCCCGAGAUACUCCUCGUCCGGCGAGUGAUUCGAUAGAAUGUCCAACACCGUCAUCACCGUUGCGGCCUGUAUCUGCGAUGGAAAAGACUUCAACAUAGUCUUCUCGGGUUUCUGCAAGAACAGCUCCCACUCCGGGUCCGUGGGGUCCUCUAUGGGCAUGUUGUUACGCACAAUGGUUGGCCUGUUGGGGAAAUAGCCCGCAAAGGUGAAUUGUCCGAAGUUUACAGCAGCAUGGUGGCCCGAAGCUGUCCACGCAAUGGUCGUCACGAUUUCAACGAGGUCCUCUUUGGUUUUCAGCUCCGGCCACCACGGUUCGUCUUUUUUGUCAGCGUGUCCAAGGGUUAUGACCUCUUCCCACCAGGCUUGGAGUUCUGUGUCCGAUUGAACAGCGGCGGAGUCGGCGUAGUAGUGGUCGACGUAUUCGGUGAACCAGGUUUUGAGGGCGUCCCAGAGAACGAGGCCGUCGUUGGCGUAAGGGUAGUCUUCGAUGGUGAGUUUGAGGCCGUGAGGGGCGGUGGGAUCCUCGACGGCCAUGCCCCUGUGGAUGAGGUCCUUGGGAAGCGCUUGGUGGUCAAAUCGCCAGUGUUUGUCGUAGACGAUUGAGCUUAGCAGAACGGAGUGUUUCCCUGGAACGAAAUUAUCCUCUAUUACUCCGCCUGCGUUUAUCAAAGACUCUCUAGCAAGCGCGUUGAUCUCCAUGGUGUAACGGAAAUGCGGAUGCAGUAAUCGGUAGAUGGGAUGCAUUGCACUCAUUUGCCUGUUUGCUGCUAUGAUGUAUGGCUCUGUUGCACAAUGAGUUCUUAACCUGGAUUAAAACCAAUACUUGUAUUAUGCAUUGAGAAACUAGUAUUUUCAGCUUAAUUACUCAAAAUCAUAGCUAGCUCCUAAAGAUCUUGUUAAUUACCAGUGACUGACGAGUUGGUGGUAACCAGAGUCGUGAGUUUGGAUAUGGAUUUUGGCCAGCCUCCAUAGCCAAACACCGGUUGCGUGCCAGGUAGGUGUGAGGACUCUAUUCCAAUGGGGUUUUCCAUCAUAUGGUGGCCGAGUCAGUUCAAUAGCCAGUGGUCUCAAUGUGCCAUCUUCGGUUAGGAAGAACAAUGCCCUUGAUCCGUAUAGCGUUGUGCCUUCUAGUUUUCUCACCUCCUCCACUAAUGGCAACAACAAAUCAUGGUAGUCCAGGACGAACAGUUUCUUCUGUUUUAUGGCCUGCAUUAAUUGAACAUUUUCACGGCUAAGUGUUGCACCAUAAAAUAUUUAUGCCUAGCAAGUCACUGAUUCAUGCAUUUGCUUUAAAACAUACCUCUUCCACUGUGAGGAAUCCUCUUAUUUCCUGCUCUACUAAUUCAGUGGUGAUGGAUGAUUCCGCAGGGCCAUAAACUUCAGGAUCAAGUUUGCUUUUCAAUGGCCAUUCCUACAUCACACCAAAUUUUUGUUGGUAUAGACAUUUUGUGUGAAGUAGAAGAAAUAGAAAGGAAAUUUACCGUGACCAAUUGGAUGCAACAAGGGUUAAGACCCGCUAGAGUCUGUCUUCCAAAUUCCUCGUCCCUCAACCAAAAGAAUCUAUCCCCUGGCAUUGGAAUGAGAUGCAAAUAUAGAAUAUAAUGAAUUGUAUUUAGUGAAGGAAGAAGAUGAAGAGGAAGGGAUGAUGAUCUUACUCUCCAUUGUUGCGGGAGGAUUGAAACGGAGAAUGUCCUCUCCUUUGUCCUUAAUAUAGCUGACGAGCCUGGGCAAAAGAUUGCUGAUUUUGACAUUUCGAGAAGGCAAGGGAAGUCCUUCAUCGAAAAGAGCAUCUAUUUCUGAGAAAACAGGGAACCCUAGAUUCUUGUCAACUAUCACUGUCUUCAGCGCCGGUAUCAACGCUUUCAAUGCCGAAGCCAGCGACUUUGUAUUAAACGUUAAUUGCUUUACUUCGGAGAAGCAUUCGUCUCUAGGCACGUACACCGUGCUACUUCUCUUCUCCGACAAUGGAUCUGUUCAACCAAUCAAAACUAAUAACACUUCAAAAAUGUGCUUUAUCAUCUCACUCACAUCACAUGUUACAUUAACAUACCAUCAACAGUAAUAAUAGAAUUAGAACCUGCACAUACAUGCCAACGUCCUAUUCAUCGCAUAUGCACAUAGGUUGGUAUAUUAUAUUAUAGGCUUAAUUAACUUUGUUUUCUCUCUGUUUUAAUAGCUAAAAAGUCACUUUCCAUGAUUGAGAUAGAGGGUUUUCACCUAUAUAUUAACAUAAAGUCUUAAUUUAAUAACAUCUUACAAUAACACAUAAAAUGACGUGAAAGAGUGAGACGUGAAAGAGUAACGGAGUUUGAAAAUAGGGAAAAAAAUAUAUAUUAUAUUGAUUUUUAGAAAUGAUUGAUGUAAUAUAUUUUUUACUCAAAAUGAUUCAUCGAUGUAAUAUAUGACUCAUAUUAAAAAAGAAUGAAAUUUUUUUCAUAAAGAGUUAGUGGAUCAUAAACGUCACAUAGGUAACCACUUACAAACACACAGGUAACCAGUUUUGCAUUUGCCAAUAUAUGUGGAGGAACCUGUGGUUGGAUUAUUACAUUGAUUAAGCCAUAUAACUGAUGUAAUAUAUUUACAUCGAUUACAUCAUCUAACAAAUAUAAUAUAUAUUUUUAUUAAAAAAUAAAUAAAAAUUUAUAAAAAGUAAAUGGUCAUAAAAGUCGGAUAAGUAGAUAACCAAUUUUGCGUGUUUCACAUAAUUAACUUAUAUACAAACGACUAAUAAUUUUGCGUGUGUCACUAGUAAUAUAUCAUAAUAUAGUCAUAUUUUAUAUACACAGUGUCACAUUCUCACUCAUCACUCUCCUCGUGAUUCUGUAGAUCUGAAAAGCAAUUGACCCAUGCACUACAGAGUCUCAUGGACUUCUCAUCACUAUGUCUGUACGGAGUCUCACACAAGGAGAAGGACAACUUUCUCAUUUCAGAUUUUUUUUUUAUCAAAAAUCAUUUUAUAGGCUAAUUAUUAUAAUAAGUAAAAUUUUAAAAAAUUAUUAAAAUAAAUAUCACUUUUAAACUAUUUUAACGUAAUUAAAUUUUAAUUAAUAUUGAACUAACGUAAAGAUUUUAACAUAAUCACAUUUUAAUUAAUAUUGAAUUGACGUCGAGAUUAUAUGAUUUCAGCCUAAAUUUAAUUUAACUGAAUAGUGCUAUUUAGUAAGAUUUUCUUACAACGAAAUUGUAUCAAUACAUACAUAAAAGUAUGGAUUAACAGUAAUUAAAUAAAAUGUGUUGAUUUAAUAUUAAUUGAGUAUGAGUAAAAAGAUAUUGGAUAAAUAAAGAAAGAGAGAGAAAUAGAGUGAUUUAUGAGAGACGAACCUUUUUUGGUGCGAGGCCUUCCUGUUCUGCAACGCCUUGGAUAAGGAUGUUCUGGACCACCAAGAACCGGUCUACGGAGAUCGGAGUUUUCAUCGGGAUCUCCAAGGUCGUUGUAGACAUCGUAAUCGUAUACUCUUUCAAAGCUCUGCCGUUCUCCUUGCCCGUUCCCUCGUAAAGUUAGUAGUUCCUCUUCUCUUAACCUUUUCACACCUUCUGGUGUUUCUGAUGGCAAAUACGACUGUUUCAUCAACAAUUCACUCAUCACUUUCACUGCCUCACAAUUCUAACGUAUGAAGCAAAUAGGUAACAAAAACUGUAGAUUAAAUGAUAAUAGUUCUAUAGUGGAGGUGGUGGUGAUCGAUGAAACCUUGUUGGGGAAAAAAAUCCUUUUUUGAGGAUUGUCGUGCUUCGAAUGAAGCCAUGACUCGCAGGCAAAUCUCACGGGACCCAAUUCGAAGCCAUCGAGAACAAUUUCUCUGACGAACAUUUCCCUGCGAUGUUCGUUCUCCACCAAAAGCGCUCCAACCUCUCCAAAGCUUUCUGGCACUUCGAACUCAGCCUCAUACCUAAUUUCUUUUGAUGAUUGAUGCGUCCUGUGUGCAAAAUGUUCCAGGGUUUUCUUCUCUAAUUGCGUCUCUUUUUGCCAAAACAAAAUUCAACACCACAAGUAAUAAUAACGUUAAUCACCACCUUCUUUUUUGCUAAUUUAAUUAAGCAACUGUUCAAACUCAAAUCUAAAUCAUGAACUGUGUUUUCAAAAGUCACCAUUCUCAGACAAAAGGUCCGAGUGGAGUUUAUUGGAUACGUAUAGGUAUAGUUACAAAAAAUGUUCAAUUUUUCAAAAAAAAUCGCCAUUUUAGUAUUUCAAGAAUAUCCCGUUCAAGCACUUAAUUUAUUAUAUUUUUGCAAAUAUCAAUAUAAAAACUCACCAAUUAAAGUGGUCCCUCGUUAACUAAAAAAUAUCUUAAACGACCAUAAAUUUCGUUGUCUUUUAGUUUUAUAGGAUUACCCAUCCAAAUGAAUAGGAAACACUCUUUACAUCUUUAGUUUUAAUUAAAAAAAAAAAUACUUUCACAACUCUAAUGUCAAAACCAUCAUUUUACAAUCUUAUCUCCUCGUAUAAAUCUAUUUUUCAGUUAAAAAAUUUACUCUAACAAUUAUACAGUAAAAUGUGUAUCUUUACAACUAUAAAAUUAUUUCAUCUCCACACUUAGAAUCUAUAUUUCAGCAAAAAAAAUAAUCAAUUAUAAUAUAAUACAAUACAAGGUUAUCAACAUAUGGAAUUUUUUUAAGUAGAAAAAUAUUUCUCUUAAUUUUUAGUAAUUAUAAUAUAGAAUAAUUUAUUGUUGAAUUGUUGAGUAACAAAACUCUUUUAAUUAAUAAGCUUGUGACAAAAGUACGACUUUAUUAUAAUAAAAAUAAAAAGUUAUGUAUAUUUGAAGAGUUUUUCAUAAUUAAUUUUUUAAAUUAUUGAUUAAAUUUAUCUUAUACAUAAGUUAAAAAUAAAAUUCUUAAUGGCAUCUUAUAUUCUUAAUCCAUAAAAAUAAGACUUUUUUUAAGAUGAUAAGAGUAAAAGUUAAGUAAAGAAUGUGCUCUUAUCAAUAAUUUUGUUGUAAGGUUUGUGUUGUAAGUAUUGUUUAGACUAAAGACUUGUUGUAUGAAAUCGGAUAGGAUAGUAUGGGUUUACUUUUUGUGUGGUUUGUUUGUUCUGAGAUUUGCUUUGGUGAUCCGUAGAGUUUGAAUGGUCAAGUGUUGAACAGAUUGUUUUGUGUAUAAAGUUUUGGAUACUUAUGAAGUGUUUGUAUAAGAAUUAAAACACCUCUGAAAUGUUUCAUUUUAUUUUAUUUAUUAUUUGUUGAAAAAAAAAAUAAAAAUUUGUUGUAUACUUACUGGGAUCAAGCUCAGCGCUAACAAGUUCCAAGAGAAGUGAUUGGCCGAGCAAAUCCUUUAUAUCAUCCAACCCUCGUUCUAAAGCCCUUUCUGAGAAAAUCCCACCAACCGUUGGCUGAACACUUAUGAUGGCUUUAACUUUCACUAAUUUCUUUUCAGCUGUUUUGGCAGCCACAGCUUUGAUUUUGGUCACAUCAUUUCUGCAACCAUGGCUCACCCUUUUUAGCUUCCUUUGGCUUGGAAACGAUGAUGGCCUUGACCAGAGCUGAAAAGAAGGAUGAGGAAUGCCACGGAGGCAUGGCCUCUGAGGGAUGAGACAGCUUGCACCUGAAUUUGAACCAUGAAUUUGUUUCACCGGCAUUUUUCUGCUACACCUUCUUUUUCUUAGUUUAUAGCAUGAACUGAGUGAGAAUGAGUGUCGUAUAAAUAAACAGAUUGAAGAAGGAAUGAGAGGUUAUUAAAGAACCUCUUUUCUUUUUCAGAAUCUCAUUUCAUAUUUUACACAUGUCUUUUAAUACCAAUCUUAUUUUCUCGAUAAUUUAAUUGUCUAGCCAAAUCCAAGGAGAUUAUAUUGUCUACCGAAAAUUAAACAAAAUCAUUCGAAAAUCUCAAUGAGUUGGACUGAUUUGUACAUUAAAUAAAAACACGCAGGAAAGCAACACAUAAUCAUCAAUCAAUCAACCGUAGAAAAUAAAUAACACAGGAUUUAACGUGAUUCGGUCGCCAAUCUAUAACCUACGUCCACGGACAACUAAUUAGGUUUUUAUUUUAUUUGUUACAAUUUUAUUACAAAUACAAAGAUCUCUUAAAUAGUUAUAGUGGGGUACAAUAAUUAAAUUCACUUACUAAAAUAUGGUGUUUAGUCAGUCCAGCCCAACUGGUCUGACUUCACACUCAACACUUAUGUAUCCCUAUUAUAAUUUCACAUUACUUACGAGUUAAAAGAUAAAAUAUAAUUAAAAUAUUUUUAUUUUUAAAUUUUUUAUUUUUUUAAAGAUAUAAUUACGACGAAACUCUAAAUUUAAAAAAUUAAUAAUAGUUUAUUCUGAAUUACAUGUUAUAGAAAGCAUAUUAGAAGUAUGUAGCCCA
rnacentral:lncRNA from 1 species